rnacentral:tmRNA from 1 species
GGGGGCGCACUGGUUUCGACGGGGUUGUUUAGGGAAGGACUGCGUGUCGAGGAGAUUGAUCCUCGUUAAAAGCAAUCAAAACUUGAAGAUAAUUGCCAAUAACAAUAA